UACAGAGGGUGCGAGCGUUAAUCGGAAUUACUGGGCGUAAAGCGCACGUAGUCGGCUUUGCAAGUCGGUUGUGAAAUCCCCGGGCUCAACCUGGGAACUGCAUCCGAGACUGCAUUGCUAGAGUAUGGGAGAGGAAAGCGGAAUUUCUGGUGUAGCAGUGAAAUGCGUAGAUAUCAGGAGGAACACCGGUGGCGAAGGCGGGUCUCUGGGCCGAUACUGACGCUGGAGGAGCGAAAGCGUGGGGAGC
rnacentral:rRNA from 1 species